UGGAGAUGACGGGCCUCAAUGGCCGUGAAGAAAAUGCAGGGAGAAAUUGAAUCCAUUUUUGGAUUCAAAGCAAAUAGUACAUGUAGAGAAAAAGGGUAAGGAUUAGGAUCCAAUGACAGUAAAAGAAAACAAAGCUAUGUUAUAAAGGAAUCAUGCAUAGAUAAAGAAGCGUCAUGUGGAUCACCAAAGUAGGAAAUAGGAAAUGAGGAAAUGACCAGGAAAACAACAUUAGCUAAAUAGAUGUUUGACAUGGUUUGAAAACUUUGAUGAUUUGAAAAAAUGUUGGACAAUAACUGAAGGGACAAAUGCAAACAAUUUUUGUGUAGUAGAUCACUUGAUUUCAACCUAAUAUGAAA
rnacentral:lncRNA from 1 species